GAUGAAGAACGCAGCGAAAUGCGAUAAGUAGUGUGAAUUGCAGAAUUCAGUGAAUCAUCGAAUCUUUGAACGCACAUUGCGCCCCUUGGUAUUCCAUGGGGCAUGCCUGUUCGAGCGUCAUUUGUACCUUCAAGCUCUGCUUGGUGUUGGGUGUUUGUCUCGCCUCUGCGUGUAGACUCGCCUCAAAACAAUUGGCAGCCGGCGUAUUGAUUUCGGAGCGCAGUACAUCUCGCGCUUUGCACUCAUAACGACGACGUCCAAAAGUACAUUUUUACACUCUUGACCUCGGAUCAGGUAGGGAUACCCGCUGAACUUCAGCAUAUCAAUAAGCGGAGGA
rnacentral:misc_RNA from 1 species